ensembl:lncRNA
GAAAAAAUGCGAGCUCAAGACAGAAGUCUUCAGAAGCUGGCUGCAGGUUCAGUAAAGAAGUGGAGAUAACGAGUGAGGAAAGAUGUUCCCUGCUGUCGUGCUCUUAUGGUUGUUUGUUCAGCUUUGCAGUGCACAUGACAUGAAGUGCACCGUCACUCACGCUGGCAGCAAGACGACAUACGACAUCUCAGACCUGUCACCUGAUAUGCGCAACAAGGCUUCCCGCUGCAUGUUUACGUGGUCCAAUGCAACUGAUUUUGUGAUCGCACACCACCGGGGCCUGUUCCUGCAGCCCGUGAUGAGCAGCAGCUUUGGCACACUAAUCACCUCCAAAUGCAUCGGCAAUGUUAGCUUCACAGCCACUUGCGAGAUAAAGCAAAGAGCAUAUGAUUACACAGCCAGCUGCACCCCCGUCUGCCCUCCAGAAGCUCUGAUUGAUGGCACAGGAAUGCCUCCUUCCCAGAUCGCUGUCAUUGUAGCAGCUGUCCUGCUGCUGGUCGGCCUCGUGUGCUUCCUGUGCUACAAAUAUAGACUUAGGAGUAAAUGCUGUGGCCAGACUGGAGGCAUCUACCCUCAUGUGAUGUUUAAGAAGGCUCCGCAACCAAAAGCUGAUGUGGAGACAGGAGGAGGAUAGAGCAGAUUAGAGGAGCUUCUCGGUGCACGAUAAUUCUAUAUCCAUGCUUUCUCAAUCCUUUCCGCUGCAUUACUUAAGUAGCAGUAUGCUUGCAUUAUUAUAUCAUCUCUGCGGGUUUGCUUUUCUAUAUUUUGCCGGGCGGCGUUUUGGGACAGGACAGUUACAAAAUGAAAUCCAUGUUACAGGAUAUUAGAGACUUGAUGUGCCAAACUCUAAUGUAAGAGUUCCUCCUUCCACACUAUUCAAUUCAAUUUUAUUUAUAUGAAACCAAAUGACAACAGUUUAAGGCUCUUCUGUGGCCUCAUCAAUGCUAAAAAACGCUGUGACUGAUAAAAGGUCAUUGAUUUCUUCCCACACAGACAAACCUCAGCUCAGUGUUAGAAACUGUAUCCUGUUACAGUGUUGAUCCCAUUGUUGAUUUUAAUUCCACUUGCCAGUUAGAUGUGAGGAAUUGGUGCACAGGUGAAAAGUUCUCUGGUAAAUUGUUAAUGGACUGAUUCUUAUAUAGCGCUUUUCUACUCUCCUGGAGUACUCAAAGCGCUAUGGGCUGUGGAAGCUCACAGACUCUUUGCUGCAAUAAUGCUCGUAUAAUAUAAUAUAAUAUAAUAUAAUAUAAUAUAAUAUAAUAUAAUAUAAUAUAAUAUCAUAUAAUAUCAUAUAAUAUAAUAUAAUAUAAUAUAAUAUAAUAUAAUAUAAUAUAAUAUAAUAAUGACCCCCCUACUUCCAGCCAGGACCCCCAUGUUAGUGUUAAUGAUGUAAACCAGCUGUGGAAGCUCGGAGACUCGUACUGCAGCACCAGGGCGUGCACUUUCAGUGUCCUAUAGCAUUACAGCACAUAGUAUAUAUGCAGAGCAUACAACGCUAUAAAUAACUUAUUAUCUAAAUGCUGCAAAUAUUUUUAUAAUGUGGAUCUUUCUUUAUUUUUGCUUACUUAUUUAUACUGUUUUCUUAUUACAUAACGUAAAUGUCAUAAAUUGAAAUGAUUCCUCCUGUAACAUGUACUCUGUACCUGCAUGCUCAGUCACUGAAUGUUUUUGUCCCAGAUUAUCCUUCUUGCUCUGUUUUUCUGCCUUAUGUUCCCCUAUUAUGCUGAAAAUGGAUUAAAAACCUCCGAUU